GUUUUAACGUGGCGUGACCAGCAGAGGGCAGGAGCACAUAGAUUAUCAGUCAUCACAGCUAAAACCGCAGCUGAGGAAGAAGGUCAGCGUCUUGUACAGAAGGUGUGGAUGUUUGGUUCCUGGGUACCUGUGUGUGGUUUUCAGCAAACGAGCCCCUGCAUAAGCCUGCCCACCAUGUCCCUGUAUUCCUCAAAGCUCCAGUUGAGCGUAUCACUGUGUCUUCUCCUCCUCCUCCUCCUCCUCUGUUUGCUUCUGCGCCCUACGGACUCCUCCACCACAGGACCAAAUGGGGACAACCUCUUCUCAAAACCAACAGCUAAUUGCUCCAAUGGAUGUAAGUAUGUGGCAGGAGUCGCUCUUAAAGGUUCUCUGUGUAAGAAUGUGGAGCUUUUUUAAAAUCUGUUUUCAUGGGCAGUGAGUGAACAGCUUGUGACAUAACUAAAAAAAGAAAAAGAUGAGACCCGCUGUGGACACCCAACUUUGUUAAGACAAUAACUUGAAGAUUAGGCAACGUAGGAUUUUCAUUUUGAUGCCAUUGGUGAAUCUACUAACACUGGCAGCUGCAAGUAUUAUUCAAUGUUGUGACACUCAUACUCACAAUAUUGGCAUGAAUGUAGUCUAUAUGUCAUUUGUCGUGGAUGCCAGGUUGAUAAAGUGUACAGAAUAAGCAUUGUAUGUGUGGUUAGUAAGAUUCACUGGACUCAUCUCUGUGCUUGGCCUGCUGGACCUCAGUGCAGUGUUUGAUACUGUUGACUGUAAUAUUUGAUUACAGCGAUUAGAGCAUGCGGUAAGUAUUACAGGUACUGCGCUGCAGUGGUUUGAAUCAUAUCUAAUAGACUCCAACUUUAUCUAUCCAUGAAGGCAGAUAACACACACCAGUUAAACCACAGGAAUGUCUUAAAGACAUAAUCUCUAAUUUCCUGCUUCUAAAUUCAGAUAAAACUGAGUUUGUUGUACUUUGGAUUAAAAGUAAUAGAAAUAUGGGCUCCAACUAGUCCUGUCUCAGAGUGACUCUGAAAAACUAGUUCAUGCAUUUAUUACUUCUAGGCUGGACUACUGUGAUUCAUUAUUAUUAUUAGGAUGUCCUAAAAACUCCCCGAAAAGCCUUCAGUUGAUCCAAAAUCCUGUGGUGAGAUUACUGACAGGGACUAGAAAGAGAGAGCAUAUUUCUCCUGUAUUUUCUUCC
rnacentral:lncRNA from 1 species